AAAAAAUUAAAAGAAAGAAAAAAUGUAUUUUAAAAAUGUUUUAAAAAUUCAUUUUUAUUUAUACACCUAAGAAAAACAUCUAAAAAAAUAAAAACUCUCUUAUACGUUUUAUAUACAAGUUUAUUUAGUUUGUCAAUAAAUUUUUUUAUCAAUGCUUUUCAAGAUUAGUUGUUGAUGGUCGGAGGUUGGGGCUGGACAUUCACUGAACGUAGUGUUUGGAGGUUGGCCAACUGACUUUCUUAGACAUUGUGUCCUAUUCCUGCUUAUGAGAAAGAGUAGAGAGAGCCUCUGCUUCCUAAACCCUUCCUUCAAUGGAGGGGUUGGACUUAAGAUGCCUAAACCCUUAACCCUCCAAUGAUCUACAGUUUUUAACCAAAAAAGUUUAAGAUAUAAAAUUGUUCAGCAGACCAAAAUUAGAUUUAAAUUCCAAGACAACAGUUAAAUAAUCGGUAUCACAAGUGUUUAUCCUAAAAGAUAUUAGAACAUCAGACUCAUUACAAUCGUAGUCUUACUAUUUUCUUUCAAUGAUCUGACUUGUUAAUAGUGACAUCACAUAUGGAUUAAACUCUGAAGCUGGCACAAAUAUCCAAAUCCCCAUGUCUCUCGUGAAUGAUGUUCUUUAACUAGAUGUAGGAUCUACCCCAUGUCUCCAGUCUUUGCAAACUCAACGAAAAUCAAUCUUCCAUCAAUAAUCUGCAUCAUUUAUCCAAACAAAACAUAUAAAUCUUCUUAACAAUUGACCCAACUUAAAAUACAAUCCAUGAAUCCAAACUAGCUACCAAAACUAGCAUAUUGGUUGAAAGCUCAUAUUACUCAAACCCAAUAGAUAUCCAUAUUGCAGGCGUUGUUUUCACAAAAUCCAAUUGAAAUAAAUUCCCAUUAAUAAAAAAAUUCAAACAGAACCAUAUUCCCGACUGAUGUAAAUAAGAUAUAUAAUCUUUGUCAGAUAUUUCGUCGAACAGAUUAUGUGCUUAAGCAGGGGAGGACACAUACCCGGCCGUCCACGGCUUAAAGAGGAGAUUUAAAUGUGACAAAACCAAACCCUUUGGGCCUCUAGGUUUUCAGAUCAUGAAUUAGCAAGAAAUUGGAAUUUUCCAUUGAUGAGAAAAGAGAUUGAAACUAAAACCGAUUAAGGAGGAGAUAUGUACCUUUAAAGAUUGAAUCUAAGGGUGAAAACAGACUCUUAAGUAGUUUUGUGUAUGAUGAUAGUCCUGAACAAAGAAAGAAAAAUCACUAUCAAUGGAGAAAUUGACGAGAAACCAUUUUUAUGAAAUGUUUGAGUGAGAGAAAGAGAUAGAGAGAGAGGGCUACUAGUGAUGAACAACUCUAAGCCACGUGAGAGCCAUUCCUUCCAAAUCCCAAUCGGCCACUUUGCAUCUUUUCAAUUCAUUACGAUAAAUUUAUGGUCAUUUGUAUGAUUACUUUUUGUGGAAAAUAGAAUAUUGAAAAAUAACAUAUUUUUAUUUUAUAUUUCAAAACUAUCACAAUUUCAAAAAAUUUCUAAUUUUAUUUUUCUCGAGGCCAAUCUCGACCGAACUUGUAAUUAUUUUCAAAUUAAAAAAAAAAAUCUUUGAAGGAAAAUUUUCGAUCUCUCUCGAUGCGUUUUCAUUAAAAAUUUGUAACAAACAAACCUUGGAUAUUGUAUUAAUUUUUGUUUACAAACUUUUGUCCUAGAGGCCCAAAUGAUUGAUGGUAACAAACAGACCUUGGAUAUUGGAAUAAUUUCUUCAACAAUAACAAAGUUAAAGAAAUAGGGAGCUAUUGUUCAAGAAAUUUCACAAUAUUAUUCUUUCUAUAACUAGAAAUUGAACUUAAAACUAAUCAAUAUUAUAUUUGUGUUAACUUUAGGGAAGUCUUUAUAGUGUGUCUAUGAAACAAGUCAAUCAACAACCUUUGCGAUUCAAUAGACCGACGUUCAACACACAAAAAUCUUUCAAACCUUUUCAUCCGAUGAAAUAUAAAAAUCAAGUCUAUCAUUGUAGGAAGAAGCUAUGAGGUUGAACUCAGCUUGCUGAAUACAAAGUUCAACAAUUCUCUUCUAUGUAUCGACUAAGAAAUGACUAACACCAAAAAAAAGUGAUGGAGGAUCUUCUACUCUGGUCAUCUUCUUUAAUUUAUGCUAAGAUAUUUUUCUAAAAAUGAUUAAAAAGUGUCUAGGUCUUAGCUUUUAGUUUCCAUUUUAGCUUCUGUCUUUAAACUUGGGGACAUAUCGAGCAACCUUAACUUGAGAUCAUAUUACACAAUGUUAAUGUUUUUUAGCUCAAGGCAAUCUCGGGACAACUUUGAUAUGGAAUCGCUGACAUAAUUGUUUUUCUUUUUCAGCUCGAUGCAUCUCAGGGCCACAGUGACAUGUGAAUAGUUAACCUAAAUGCUUAUGUUUUCAACUUGGGGACUCUUGUGGCAAAUUUGGCCCGAUAAGAGUUAAUGUCAAAUAGAAUUUUUUAAAAAUAAAAAACACAUUAUUUUGGUGACGCACUCAGCCAAGAGAAGCUGAUAAAUUUCCUUCAAAGAGUUUUUUAAAAUUUUGGGAAGAAUCUCGGGGUUGAUCUCGGUCGAGAUUGACCCCGAGAAAAACAAAAUUACUAGUUUUUUUUUUUUAAAUUGUGCUACUUUUGAAAUAUAAAAAAAUGGUGCUAGUUUUGUCAACUUUCCUUCGUGAAAUGUGUUUGUGAUCGUGACAUUUUGCUUACGUCGUAAUUCAUUGUCACUAUCCAUUCUAACUUGAUUUUGUCUUUUUCUAGUGUGUAUUUCUUUUCUUUUGUUUGUUGAAAAAUUUAAAUUGAACCGUGAUAAAUAAUAAUUUUAUUAUGAUGACUUAUCAAUUAUAAAUACUUAUUAAAGGAUCAUCGGUACAAAAACCUCUUAGAUUUGAAAGAAAUAUGUUACUAUGAAAACAUAAAUUUGAAAACAAAAUACAAAAUACAGUAUGUAAACAAAGUUAUAUUUAAUGUUUUCAAAUAUGUGUUUAAUAUAACAAAAUUCCAAUUUUAGAAUUAUAGUUUGAACAAUUUGUAAACUAGAGGUCUACCCGCUAAAUAUUAGUGAACAAUAAAUUAUUUUUUGAUUUCAAAUAUCUUUUGUUAAAAUGACGGUAUACUUAUUAUUUUGUAACAUUUUGUAAUUUAUCGAAAAAAGUUAAAUAUUGUAGGUUUUAUGGUUCAUAAUUAAAAAUUGCCCUUCAUGAUUUGACAAAAGAUUCACUAAGAGCAUUUAACAAAUAAUGGAAAGUAUAGAUAAAGUUACAUUAAAUCCUACCAACUAAGAUUUAAAUUUUACAAUGAGUAAAUUUAAAUUUGGAAUUUAACCUAAUUUAUAAUACAUUACUUAAUACAAUUUUUAAAAUUUUCAAAAAUUAAAAUUAAAGUUAUCUAAUCAUUUAAUUAUUAUUUUGGGCCCAUUUUCAUCGUUUUUUAGGCCCAAAUGUUAGGGUUUUGUUCAAUUUAUAAUGCUCUCCAAACCCUACGCCCAUUCUUUGAAGCCGACGCCUCCAUCUUCCAUUCAGGUAUAUCUCCUCGCUAGGGUUCUCCCGUUUUUUCGUGCUCUUCUUAUUGUGUAUUUUGUUUUGAUUUUUUUUCUUCUUCUGGAUUUUGUUUCUGUUUUACUUUUGUUAGAAAUCCAUUGAAGUUUUAAUUUGGAAGGAUGGUGAGAGUUAGUGUUUUGAACGAUGCUCUUAAGAGCAUGUACAAUGCAGAGAAGAGGGGAAAACGACAGGUCAUGAUCAGGCCGUCUUCUAAAGUCAUCAUCAAGUUUCUUCUGGUUAUGCAGAAGCACGGUUUGUUUCUUUGAUUUGACUUCAUCUUUGCAAUUUCUUUUCUCUACGUCAUCUCAUCUCAUCUUCUGUUUUUUGAUGUUUAGGUUAUAUUGGUGAAUUUGAGUUUGUCGAUGAUCAUAGAUCUGGAAAAAUUGUUGUUGAACUCAACGGCAGGCUGAACAAAUGUGGGGUUAUUAGUCCUCGUUUUGAUGUGGGUGUUAAGGAAAUUGAAGGUUGGACUGCUAGGUUGCUCCCUUCCAGACAGGUUAGUGCGUAAUACCUUUCACUUUUGUGAAAUGCGAUUGUGAAAUUUAGGGAUUUCAAUGGAGAUGUCAAUAGUUGUUAAAUGAUCUUGUCAUUUAGAUUGUCUUAGAUUCUAAAUCUGGCUAGUUGGAUAUCGUAGUAGAUGCACAUGAAAGAGUAGUAUGAAUGCUUAUCCAUUGAUUAACAAGUGCUCUGAAGUGGCUGCUUAGUUUUGCGAACGUUUAAACCCACAUUUUUUAAAGCUCGAAACAUAACAAGGCGCAAUAGUCUUAUGUGAAGCAUGCAUGCUCCGUAAAUGGAGUAAACGCGAGUAAGCAUGGUUGGGGUGGAAAUGUGAAAUAAAAAGCCCCAACCACAAUUUUUUAAUCUUUGUUAAUGCAACAAGCCUACUUUGGGAUGGUUCUGUGGUCGUCCAGAGGGCUUUUAAAAUACUAGUUUAGAUAAAAGUUUGGACUAUUUUACUUUUGAAUUAUCUUUUAUUUUCCAUUGGAGGUGCAGGCUAUGUAAAGAUUUGUUUAGUAACAUGAUUUUUCAAUAUAUGGUAAUGAUCUGUUUGAUGAAAUUCAUAAUAUGCAGUUUGGAUUCAUUGUGCUGACAACAUCUGCUGGAAUUAUGGAUCACGAAGAAGCAAGAAGGAAGAAUGUUGGAGGCAAAGUUCUUGGUUUCUUCUACUGAACAUGGUUUUGAGCAUCCAUUAUGGAGUUUUGACAUAGCUUUCAAAUAGUACUACAUUUUCUCUCGGUAAAGAAAGAUCCUUAUCCUGUAUUGAUGAUUAGAUUUUGUGUUGCCAGUUUCUCAUUUCUUAAGUUAAUUCCAAGGAAGAUUCUAUUGUUUUCGUGAAGACGUUUUGGUUCUUUUAAUUAUAUUGGAAGAGAACUAGUGCUUUUUAAUUUCUUGCUACCUACUCUCCCAACUCUGUUUUCUGUCACUUGUGUUUUCAAGUUCAAUAAUAGUUAUCUGAGAGACACCCGGAGCAGCAGCCCUUUUUAAAGCUUUACUCAAACUUGUAGAAAUGUUAUAAUUUGGAGUCUUAGACUUGCACAGUUGUUUUAGAAAUUAGACUGCAAUGGAUAAAAAUUGAGCCCUAAAGCUUGAACCGAACAAUUGUCACAAUUUCUACCUUGUACAAGUUUCAGGGUUUAAUUUUAAUACUAGUAUAGGUUUGAGGUGCUUUAGGGAUGGUCUUUUGCAAGUUGACGUAUUUGUUCCAUUGUGAAUGAUCCAAACAUACUCGGGAUGAUAGAUCAUUGCAUUGAAUUUCUAUGCUGCCCUUGUAAUGUUGAUUCAAACAUACUCGGGAUGAUAGAUCAUUGUAAUCACAUUUCGGAUUCUCUUGUGAAAAUUGAAAUACUUUCAAUGUACUAGAAUUGAGUCAAUUUACAAUUUAUCUCGAUUUAACUUACAUUACAACAUUGCUACUCUAUUUAGUAGGUGUUUUGUAUAAUUUUAUUGAGAUAGAACAUGUGUUCUUCGUUAUUCUCUUUUAUUUUGUUUUCUACACAUGUUAGUAUUUUGUUCAACUAGAAAAUUUCAUGGAUGUCUCUAAAAGAAUGGGUCCCUUGAUUCGGUUUUUAUUAGGCAUAUGUGAGUUGAUCAUUAAGGUGUAGAAGGAGGGGAAAUUUUGAUUAUUCUACGAGGCACAUUGUAGGAUUGACAAAUGGGUGGGCGGGGUGAGGGGCAUAUUCCGUCUCCUGAAUUGAAGUGGGUGGGGAACAAAAUUGUUUUGCUUACCUUAUUAAUCUCACAUAUUUGUUUAUUAUAAAUACCAUAAUUUUCUUCAUUAAAAUUUAAUUACUUAAUUUUGCCAAUUUAGAGUUUGUUUCUAUAAAUGAAAAAGACAAAUAAGAAAAAAAAAGAAAAGAAAAGAAAAGAAAAGGAAAAGGUUGCAUCACAUGAAAAAGGGCUGUUUUCUUUUUCCAUAUUUUCAGUAAAUAUUUUCCAUACUUCUUAAAACUUGAUAAAUAUAAGGACUGCUAUAGCAAAAUAAAAUUUUAAUUUAUACUCCAAAGUUUACACUAAUUUAAAUAAUAAACUAAUAAAACAACUUAAACUCUAAAUUUUUAUAGAAUUAAAUUAGAUCUUAUAUUUUUUCAAGCUUAUCAAUCUAAAUUUAUAUAAAUGUAUCCAUUUAUAUGUUUUACUUAAACAUUAUAAGUUUGAUACAAUUCCAAAGCGAGGGUGGGAUUGAAAGAUAUAAAUUGAUAUUUGUAUAGAAUAUAGAAUACAACAAAAUUUUAGAUCUUAUCCAAUAUCUAUCAAUAACAUGAUAGAUCAAUACAUAUAAUUUUCAUUUUUCAGAUCAAUACGUAUAAUUUUCAUUUUUAUGUAAAUAUUCAGUUAAAUUUGUCUUUUUUAUAAUUUCUUAAAUAAAAUAUAUUGGUAUAUAGAGGCUAUCUUUAAAUAUUACAAAAUGAAUAAAUUUUUUUACAAAUUAGUGUAAAAUUUUGGAUUUACUAUAUUUGUAUGUUAAUAUUCUCUAUCAUUAAUAAAUAUGAAAUUUAAACUUUUGUUAUCAUUGAUAGAUAUUUUUAAACAAUUUACUUUAAUUUUCUUAAAUAUGUUUAUAAAUUUUGAAAGUAUAUUUAGAAAACGGAAGGGGAAUACUCUUCCCAUCCCUCCCAUGUUCUCUUUUUGGUCAAUCCUACCAGUUUCAAGAAUGUUUCUAUUUCAUUUGUUUCAUUAUAGGUAUGUCCAUUUAUGCUUUUUAGUUUGGAUUUUUUUGUUGUUGUGAAACUCACUAUUUUCAAGAAAUCUAAACAUAAGUGAUAAUCAGUUGUUGAACUAAAUUUUGAAAUAAUCCCACUGAAUGGUAUGAAUUAAUUUACUAUAAAGUUUUGAAGUUUAAUGGUUACAUACUAUGAUAAGUUUCUCAUAAUGAAAUCUUGCAAAAAUUGUAAAUUAAAUAUUUGGUCCAUAUAUCUAUAGGUCAAUGUUAAAGAAUGGAACUCCACCAACUUCAACAAUAUUCACUAUUAAACUUUACAUAUUUAUGGAGAAUUUACAUUUCUUAUCUUUAGAUUUUUCUCCCUCUCUAAUGUUUUCGUAACUCUCAACUAAAUAACUCUACACAAAAUACUAGUUCUUCACUCUAUCAUAUUAAUCCUAGACUUGAAAGAAUUCAACUCAACUCCCUUAAACAUCCUCCUAACAAAAUUAACAUUAUAGAGUUUUAAGAGUGCAUAAUUGAUAAUUUCCUUUUUACAUUUACAAAUCUCAGUUUUUUUAGAGGAUGUUUCAAAAUUUGUAACCAAACAACCCUUUAUAUUUAAAAAUUAUUUCAAGAACUAAGAUAUGAUAUGUAACCUCUACUAAAUAAGUGAUUGACCUCUCUUCUAUCCUCCAUUUUCAUAUAUUCAAUCUCACAAUACUCGUUAAAUGUUUGAAUCUCUAGAUCUAGAUCUCGAUCCCUAAUUGUUGUAAAAAAAACACAUAUAUAAUAUCAAUGCAUUAAACUAGAGUGUGAUUUCAUAGGCUAAGUAACCAUAACAACCCAAUAAUUAAAAUGAGUACUCAUGGGCUAAGGUUAACCUGGAUUGAAAAUGAGUGAAAAGGUAGCUGAUCAAUAGGCAUAGGGGAAGUUGAUGAAACAAAUUAAAAUGUUCUUCAUAAUCUAUCUUAAAAAACUUAGUACAUGAAUCCUUAGAUAUUAUUGUAAUGUGAAGUUUCUUAGAAGUAUCAUUAUUUCACAAUGCCAUGCAUCUUUAUCUAAUACUUUAGUGUUUUCCUUUAUGGAAUUUUCAAUUGAGAAAAAGCUACAAUAUAUAAUACCAUUUAAACAAUAUAAUAUAAUUGAACACUUGCAACCAAAUUAUGAACUUUUUCAGGUAGAUCAUAUAAGUAGAGAACAUAUAAAUUAUUGAUCAGAUAAUAAAUAACAAAAAUGAUCAUCAAAGCCAAAGUUUUUUUUUUUUUUUUUUUUUAAAUAAUAAUAAUAAUAAUAAGAAGUAGAAGAAGAAUAAGUAGUCAUGUAGGAAGAAGAAAAAACAAAAUACCAAACAACUCUCUUCCUCCUGUGAUCGCCAACAAAGUAGCUUUAACUUGGUCCGAUUUCAUUAUUUUGUCGUCUAAGGUCAUCUUUAUAUAUAUAUCGUACGUUUUGUAAUAUGCCAAAGAGUAUUCGUUGCCCAAAAUGAAGCACGUGAUCGAACAAUUGUCGUUGUACGAUCACGAUCCACGUUCACAUUUCUUCACUUCGGAGUCAUCGAUCCAGCUCCCGUAGAAAAACAUUUGAGAAAACAUGGAAACGUCGAGCUACAACAUAGAAUAAAAGGGAUGAAAGGGGAAGCCAUGUGAAGAUGAUGAUGAACAAUGUGAGAAGAGAGAUUAGAAGGGAAUUAGGUUUUAGAGAAAAAAAUGGGAGAAAUGGGAGAUGGUGGGGGGUUGGUUUUGAUGUUGUGGAAGAAUAGGAUCUUCUAAGCAUAUGCUUCAAAGCAAUAACUAGUUGGUCCAUUUUCUCUCCACUUUAUACUAACUUUUUGUUUAUUUAAUUAUUAAUCACAUGUAUAUAUGAGCCAAAAAGUGGUAAACCUUAACCUUAAAAACAUUUCUUGUGUUAUUAAUUAUUUCACCUUAAAACGUUUUGAUAUAUAUAUAUAUUUA
rnacentral:lncRNA from 1 species